rnacentral:rRNA from 1 species
GGUCUCAUUCCGAACCCGGAAGCUAAGCCUCUCAGCGCCGAUGGUACUGCCCCGGAGACGGGGUGGGAGAGUAGGACGCCGCCGGAC